UACAGAGGGGGCAAGCGUUGGUCGGAAUUACUGGGCGUAAAGGGCGCGUAGGCGGCCUGUUAAGUCGAACGUGAAAUCCCCGGGCUCAACCCGGGAACUGCGUCCGAUACUGGCAGGCUUGAAUCCGGGAGAGGGAUGUGGAAUUCCAGGUGUAGCGGUGAAAUGCGUAGAUAUCUGGAGGAACACCGGUGGCGAAGGCGGCAUCCUGGACCGGUAUUGACGCUGAGGCGCGAAAGCCAGGGGAGCAAACGGG
rnacentral:rRNA from 1 species